CAGCAGCCGCGGGAAUACGUAGGGUCCGAGCGUUGUCCGGAAUUACUGGGCGUAAAGAGCUCGUAGGUGGUUUGUCGCGUUGUUCGUGAAAACUCACAGCUCAACUGUGGGCGUGCGGGCGAUACGGGCAGACUGGAGUACUGCAGGGGAGACUGGAAUUCCUGGUGUAGCGGUGGAAUGCGCAGAUAUCAGGAGGAACACCGGUGGCGAAGGCGGGUCUCUGGGCAGUAACUGACGCUGAGGAGCGAAAGCGUGGGGAGCGAACAGGAUUAGAUACCCCCGUAGUCCCUGUCUCUUAUAC
rnacentral:rRNA from 1 species